rnacentral:rRNA from 1 species
UACGGAGGGGGCGAGCGUUAUUCGGAUUCACUGGGCGUAAAGGGCACGUAGGCGGCUCGGCAAAUCGGUCGUGGAAUCUCGACGCUUACCGUCGAAACGGCGGCCGAAAAUACCGGGCUCGAGGGCGUGAGGGGUCACUGGAACUCCUGGUGAAGCGGUGAAAUGCGUAGAUAUCAGGAGGAACGCCGGAGGCGAAAGCGAGUGACUGGCGCGUUCCUGACGCUGAGGUGCGAAAGCUAGGGGAGCAAACAGG